rnacentral:rRNA from 1 species
UACGUAGGGUGCGAGCGUUAAUCGGAAUUACUGGGCGUAAAGCGUGCGCAGGCGGUUCGUUGUGUCGGCGGUGAAAGCCCCGGGCUCAACCUGGGAACUGCGUCUGAUACUGGAAGGCUUGAGUUCGGGAGAGGGAUGUGGAAUUCCAGGUGUAGCGGUGAAAUGCGUAGAUAUCUGGAGGAACACCGGUGGCGAAGGCGGCAUCCUGGACCGAAACUGACACUGAGGCGCGAAAGCCAGGGGAGCAAACGGG